AUGGUGGAGGACAGGGAGGCCUGGCAUGCUGCAGUCAUUGGGAUAGUGAAUAAUUGGACAGAACUUGGUGACAGAACAGCAACAACAAAUUUACUUGAGCUGCAGUAUGUUUUGGACAAACUGGGAGAUGAUGAAGUGAGAAGUGACCUGAAGCAAGGUUUGAAUGGAGUGCCAAUAUUGUCUGAAGAGGAAGUGUCAUUGUUAGAUGAGUUCUACAAAUUAGCAGACCCUGAACGAGACAUGAGCUUGAGGUUGAAUUAGCAGUAUGAACAUGCCUCCAUUCACCUGUGGGACUUGCUGGAAGGAAAGGAAAAACCUGGAUGUGGAACAACUUAUAAAGCUCUAAAGGAAAUUGUUGAGCAUGUUUUCCAGUCAAACUACUUUGACAGCACCCACAACCACCAGAACGGUCUGUGUGAGGAAGAGGAGGCAGCCUCAGCACCUACAGUUGAAGACCAGGUAGCUGAAGCUGAACCUGAGCCAGCGGAAGAAUACACUGAACAAAAUGAGUUUGAAUCAACAGAAAAUGUAAAUAGACAAUUUAUGGCAGAAACACAGUUCAGCAGUGGUGAAAAGGAGCAGGUAGAUGAAUGGACAGUAGAAACAGUUGAGGUGGUAAAUUCACUCCAGCAGCAACCUCAGGCUGCAUCUCCUUCAGUACCAGAACCCCACUCUUUGACCCCAGCGGCUCAGGCUCAUCCACUUAUGAGAAAACAGAAAAUACAGGAACUUAUGGCACAAAUUCAGGGGCCCGAUAACUUCAUACAGGAUUCAAUGCUGGAUUUUGAAAACCAGACACUUGACCCUGCCAUUGUAUCUGCACAGCCAAUGAAUCCAGCACAGAACAUGGACAUACCCCAGCUGGUUUGCCCUCCAGUUCAUUCUGAAUCUAGACUUGCUCAACCUAAUCAAGUUUCUGUACAGCCAGAAGCUACACAGGUUCCUUUGGUUUCAUCCACAAGUGAGGGAUAUACAGCAUCUCAACCCUUGUACCAACUUUCUCAUGUUACUGAGCAACGACCACAAAAGGAACCAAUUGACCAGAUUCAGGCAACGAUCUCUUUAAAUACAAAACAGACUACAGCAUCAUCAUCCCUUCCUGCUGCUUCUCAGCCUCAAGUGUUCCAGGCUAGGACAAGCAAACCUUUACAUAGCAGUGGAAUCAAUGUAAAUGCAGCUCCAUUCCAAUUCAUGCAAACAGUGUUCAAUAUGAAUGCCCCAGUUCCUCCUGUUAAUGAACCAGAAACUUUAAAAACAGCAAAAUCAAUACCAAGCCAGUUAUAACCAGAGCUUUUCCAGUCAACCUCACCAAGUAGAACAAACAGAGCUUCAGCAAGAACAACUUCAAACAGUGGUUGGCACUUAUCAUGGUUCCCAGGACCAGCCCCAUCAAGUAACUGGUAACCACCAGCAGCCUCCUCAGCAGAACACUGGAUUUCCACGUAGCAGUCAGCCCUAUUACAACAGUCAUGGUGUGUCUCGUGGAGGUUUCCGUGCUGCUUGAGGCUUGAUGAAUGGAUACAGAGGACCUGCUAAUGGAUUCAGAGGAGGAUAUGAUGGUUACUGCCCUUCAUUCUCUACUAACACUCCAAACAGUGGUUAUACACAAUCUCAGUUCAGUGCUCCCCGGGACUACUCUGGCUAUCAGCGGGAUAGAUGUCAGCAGAAUUUCAAGCGAGGCUCUGAGCAGAGUGGACCACGGGGAGGCCCACAAGGUCGUGGAGGGCCCCCAAGACCCAACAGAGGGAUGCCGCAAAUGAACACUAAGCAAGUGAAUUAA